AGAGCAUACGGUGGAUGCCUUGGCGCGUUGCGGCGAUGAAGGACGUGGUGAACUGCGAAAAGCUGUGGGGAGUCGUAAACAGGCCGUGAGCCACAGAUAUCCGAAUGGGGCAACCCCCCUGCCGUCAUGGGCAGGGAUUCGUUCCUGAAAGGAGUAGGGGGCGAAGGCGAACCCGGGGAACUGAACCAUCUUAGUACCCGGAGGAGGAGAGAUCAAGAGAGAUUCCCGGAGUAGCGGCGAGCGAAAGGGGACGAGCCUAAACGUUUUCAGUGGAAAGCUCGUAUGCGUUGCUGAAAGCGGGUUGUGGGGCAGUUCUGGCGGAGGAUACGACCUUCGCGGCUGCGCACGACUGGUGACGAGAAGGGUCCUGGAACGGCCCGCCAAAACCUUGUGGGAAGCUGGGAGGCCCACCUUCCAAGGCUAAAUACGUCAACGCGACCGAUAGUGAACCAGUACCGUGAGGGAAAGGUGAAAAGAACCCCCGUUACAGGGAGUGAAAGAGAACCUGAAACCGUAUGUUUACAAGCUGUCAGAGCCUCCAUGCGGGGCGAUGGCGUGCCUAUUGCAUAAUGAGCCGGCGAGUUACCGUGGGCUGCGAGGUUAACACAAGACGUGGCAGCCGGAGCGAACGCGAGUCUGAAGAGGGCGAAGAGUAGCGCGCGGUAGACCCGAAGCCGAGUGAGCUAUCCAUGGGCAGGUUGCAGCGUCCGUAACAGGACGUGAAGGACCGCACCCACUCAGGUUGAAAACUGAGGGGAGGACCUGUGGAUAGGGGUGAAAGGCCAAUCAAACUCGGAGAUAGCUGGUUCUCCCCGAAAUUGCUGUAGGGCGAGCCUCUGGUGGUGAGUGGUGGGGGUAGAGCACUGAUUGGGUUAGGGUCCUUCGCGGGAUACCGUCCCCAGUCAAACUCCGAAUCCCAUCAACGUCGAGCCAGGGAGUGAGACAGUGGGGGAUAAGCUUCAUUGUCGAGAGGGAAACAGCCCAGACCAUCAGCUAAGGUCCCCAACGGUUUGUUAAGUGGUGAAGGAUGUAGAGAUGCAGAGACAGCCAGGAGGUUGGCUUAGAAGCAGCCACCCUUGAAAGAAAGCGUAAUAGCUCACUGGUCAAGUGGCUCUGCGCCGAAAAUGUACGGGGGCUGAAACAAACGACCGAGGCUAUGGAGUCAUUCUGCGGAAUGACUGGUAGGGGAGCGUUCACUGCGCCGAGAAGUCGUUCCGUGAGGGGCGGUGGAGCGGAGUGAAGUGAAGCUGCCGGCAUGAGUAACGAGAAAACAGGUGAGAGUCCUGUUCGCCGAAAUUCUCAGGGUUCCUUGGGCAAGGCGAGUCCGCCCAGGGUUAGUCGGGAUCUAAGCCGAGGCCGAGAGGCGUAGGUGAUGGCAAACCGGAGAAUAGUCCGGUACCACCGGUUUCGUGUUUGAGCGAUGGGGGGGACGUGUCAGGAGAGGCCAGCCUGUCAGUGGUAAUACAGGUGGAACCCGGGAGGAGGUUGCUGAGGCAAAUCCCAGCAGCAGAGACUCCGAGCGGGGAGACCGGGCCGGAGGGCCAGAAGUGGUUGAGCUCCUGAGACCAAGAAAACCCCUCUAGUGAAUGGAACGGGUGUCCGUACCCGAAACCGACACAGGUAGAAAUGGAAGGGCUCCACAGGCGUGUGAGCGAACCCUCGUUAAGGAACUCGGCAACAUGACCUCGUAACUUCGGGAGAAGAGGUACCCCAUGACCGUGAGGAGAGCGAUACUCUGAGCGAGGCGGGGUGGCACAGACCAGGCCCAGGCGACUGUUUACUAAAAACAUAGGUCUCUGCGAAGGCGCGAAGCCGCAGUAUAGGGCCGUAACUAUAACGGUCCUAAGGUAGCGAAAUUCCUUGUCGGGUAAGUUCCGACCUGCACGAAUGGCGUAACGACUUGGGCGCUGUCUCAACGAGGGGCUCAGUGAAAUUGUAGUACCGGUGAAGAUGCCGGUUACCCACGACCAGACGGAAAGACCCCGUGCACCUUGACUAUAGCCUGACGUUGGGUUUUAGAGGUAUUUGUGCAGGAUAGGUGGGAGGCGGAGAAGCGGGCACGCUAGUGUCGGUGGAGCCAUCCUUGAAAUACCACCCUGAUAGUUGUGGAAUCCUCACUGCCAUCCGUGAAUCCGGAUGCAGGACAGGGUCAGGUGGGUAGUUUGACUGGGGCGGUCACCUCCCAAAGAGUAACGGAGGUGUGCGACGGUGCCCUCAGGCUGUAUAGACAUCAGUCGCAGAGUGCAAAGGCAGAAGGGCGCUUGACUGCGAGACCGACGGGUCGAGCAGGUGCGAAAGCAGGUCUUAGUGAUCCGGCGGCGCUACGUGGCAGGGCCGUCGCUCAACGGAUAAAAGGUACGCCGGGGAUAACAGGCUGAUUCUGCCCGAGAGUUCCCAUCGACGGCAGAGUUUGGCACCUCGAU
rnacentral:rRNA from 1 species